rnacentral:rRNA from 1 species
UCCAGACUCCUACGGGAGGCAGCAGUGGGGGAUAUUGCACAAUGGGGGAAACCCUGAUGCAGCGACGCCGCGUGGGUGAAGAAGCGCCUCGGCGCGUAAAGCCCUGUCAGUAGGGAAGAAAAUGACGGUACCUGACUAAGAAGCCCCGGCUAACUACGUGCCAGCAGCCGCGGUAAUACGUAGGGGGCAAGCGUUAUCCGGAUUUACUGGGUGUAAAGGGAGCGUAGACGGUAGAGCAAGUCUGAAGUGAAAGCCCGCGGCUCAACUGCGGGACUGCUUUGGAAACUGUUCAACUGGAGUGCUGGAGAGGUAAGCGGAAUUCCUAGUGUAGCGGUGAAAUGCGUAGAUAUUAGGAGGAACACCAGUGGCGAAGGCGGCUUACUGGACAGUAACUGACGCUGAGGCGCGAAAGCGUGGGGAGCAAACAGGAUUAGAUACCCUAGUAC